CUUGAUGGUAGUGUAUUGGACUACCAUGGCAGUCACGGGUAACGGAGAAUUAGGGUUCGAUUCCGGAGAAGGAGCCUGAGAAACGGCUACUACGUCUACGGAUGGCAGCAGGCGCGUAAAUUACCCAAUCCUAAAUCAGGGAGGUAGUGACAAGAUAUAACAACGUGACUUAAUAUCGCGAUUGUAGUGAGGGUAUUCCAAAAAUAGCUUCGAGUACGAUUGGAGGGCAAGUCUGGUGCCAGCAGCCGCGGUAAUUCCAGCUCCAAUAGCGUAUAUUAAAGUUGUUGCAGUUAAAAAGCUCGUAGUUGGAUUUCAAGAGUCGCAUCUGGGAGUACCGGUAUGCCCUCUACGGUCUCAGGACUGUUACUGUGAGAAAAUUAGAGUGUUCAAAGCAGGCAAUUGCAGGAAUAUAUUAGCAUGGAAUAACGAAUGUGUCUACAAUUUGGUUAAUUGUAGGUUACAAUUAAUAGGGACAGUUGGGGGCAUUAGUAUUUAAUUGUCAGAGGUGAAAUUCUUGGAUUAGUUAAAGACUAACGUAUGCGAAGGCAUUUGCCAAGGAUGUUUUCAUUAAUCAAGAACGAAAGUCGGGGGAUCAAAGACGAUCAGAUACCGUC
rnacentral:rRNA from 1 species